GUGGUACUGGCGUAGUGGUAAACGCAUCUGGCUACUUCGCAAGAAGGAGAAUUCAAUUAAUUGAAUCUCACAGUCCCAGGAGACAGCGGUUCGAAUCCGUUGCACUACA
rnacentral:tRNA from 2 species